rnacentral:rRNA from 1 species
GACGAACGCUGGCGGCGUGCUUAACACAUGCAAGUCGAACGGAAAGGCCCUGCUUGCAGGGUGCUCGAGUGGCGAACGGGUGAGUAACACGUGGGUGAUCUGCCCCUUACUUUGGGAUAAGCCUGGGAAACUGGGUCUAAUACUGGAUAGGACCAUGCUGUAGGUGGUGUGGUGGAAAGAUUAGUUUCGGUAAGGGAUGAGCUCGCGGCCUAUCAGCUUGUUGGUGGGGUAAUGGCCUACCAAGGCGUCGACGGGUAGCCGGCCUGAGAGGGUGGACGGCCACAUUGGGACUGAGAUACGGCCCAGACUCCUACGGGAGGCAGCAGUGGGGAAUAUUGCACAAUGGGGGCAAGCCUGAUGCAGCGACGCCGCGUGGGGGAUGACGGCCUUCGGGUUGUAAACUCCUUUCAGCCAUGACGAAGCCCUUGUGGUGACGGUAGUGGUAGAAGAGGCACCGGCUAACUACGUG